GUCGAGGGGCAUCGGGGAUGUUAGCUUGCUAAUAUCAGCCGGCGACCGGCGCACGGGUGAGUAACGCGUAUGCGACCUGCCCGUUACAGGGGGAUAAUCCGGAGAAAUCCGGUCUAAUACCGCAUAAUAUCGUGAAGCUGCAUGGUUUUGCGAUUAAAGGAGCGAUCCGGUGACGGAUGGGCAUGCGUGACAUUAGCUAGUCGGUGGGGUAAAGGCCUACCAAGGCGACGAUCAGUAGCCGGCCUGAGAGGGUGGACGGCCACAUUGGGACUGAGACACGGCCCAAACUCCUACGGGAGGCAGCAGUGGGGAAUAUUGGACAAUGGGGGGAACCCUGAUCCAGCGACGCCGCGUGAGUGAAGAAGUAUUUCGGUAUGUAAAGCUCUAUCAGCAGGGAAGAAAGAAAUGACGGUACCUGACUAAGAAGCCCCGGCUAACUACGUGCCAGCAGCCGCGGUAAUACGUAGGGGGCAAGCGUUAUCCGGAUUUACUGGGUGUAAAGGGAGCGUAGACGGCAGUGCAAGUCUGAAGUGAAAGGCGGGGGCCCAACCCCCGGACUGCUUUGGAAACUGUGCUGCUGGAGUGCAGGAGAGGCAAGUGGAAUUCCUAGUGUAGCGGUGAAAUGCGUAGAUAUUAGGAGGAACACCAGUGGCGAAGGCGGCUUGCUGGACUGUAACUGACGUUGAGGCUCGAAAGCGUGGGGAGCAAACAGGAUUAGAUACCCUGGUAGUCCACGCCGUAAACGAUGAUCACUAGGUGUCGGUGGGUAUGGACCCAUCGGUGCCGCAGCAAACGCAGUAAGUGAUCCACCUGGGGAGUACGUUCG
rnacentral:rRNA from 1 species